GUGCUCACUUCAGCAGCACAUAUACUAAAACUGGAACGAUACAGAGAAGAUUAGCAUGGCCCCUGUGCAAGGAUGAUGUGAAAAUUCAUGAAGCGUUCCAUAUUUAA
rnacentral:snRNA from 1 species